AUCUUGGUCCCUAAUUCUCUUAGGGUUGUGUUUGGCUGUAGGCCUUGUUCAGCUGGACUCUGAUAUGGGGAUUAUUCUCUUGGUUGGAUUUUGGACUUGCAUUAUUGUUGCAAGCUUGCCUUGUGAUCUGCACUCAGUUGAAGUUGGCUGUUGUCCUUGGACCUGCUCCACUUGCCAUGCUUAGACUCUAGUCUUAGAAUAACCUGUAUCCACCGCCUUUGUACAGACCACCCAGUGCAGCUGGCAUUUCAAAGGGCUGCGGGCCACUGGAGAGCUAAAACAAUGAAUUUCUACAAUCUGAGCUGAUUUACUUUUUAAACUCAUAAGGAGGUUUCUGUCUUGCACCGAGAAUUUAUGAGUGCCUGUUGUUUAUGGCACAGGUCAGGAAGUGAUCUGGGAAGCACUUCUCUACUCUGGAAAUUAGUCUUUCAGAGAAACAGAAAUAAAGUGAUAUAAGAAAUGCACAGCUCUAUUUUUCCCCCAAAGUUGUAUGCUUUUCAUUGGGGCAUAGUAAGGACAAAUCAAUGAGACAAGUGUGCACAGUGAAUCAUAAGGGGUUUCAAACUGCCUAAAGAUAUAUUAACUCAGAGUGAAUUAUGUAUUAAGAUAACCAUUCUUCUAAAUAUCUGCUAACACGAAUGCUGGAAAAUUAUAGAACCAAUUCUGAAAUCCUUGUUCAGUAUUGGAGCCAUGUUUAUCAAGUCCAGUUGGGUUUUAAUGGAAUCCAUUCAUGAAAUCACGAAGUGUUGUGAUACUUAUUAAUCACUUAAACUAAGUCUUUAAUGGAAAAG